AACGAACGCUGGCGGCAUGCCUAACACAUGCAAGUCGAACGAGGCCUUCGGGUCUAGUGGCGCACGGGUGCGUAACGCGUGGGAACCUGCCCUUAGGUUCGGAAUAACUCCCCGAAAGGGGUGCUAAUACCGGAUAAUGUCUUCGGACCAAAGAUUUAUCGCCUUUGGAUGGGCCCGCGUUGGAUUAGCUAGUUGGUAGGGUAAAAGCCUACCAAGGCGACGAUCCAUAGCUGGUCUGAGAGGAUGAUCAGCCACACUGGGACUGAGACACAGCCCAGACUCCUACGGGAGGCAGCAGUGGGGAAUAUUGGACAAUGGGCGAAAGCCUGAUCCAGCAAUGCCGCGUGAGUGAUGAAGGCCUUAGGGUUGUAAAGCUCUUUUACCCGGGAUGAUAAUGACAGUACCGGGAGAAUAAACUCCGGCUAACUCCGU
rnacentral:rRNA from 1 species